ACCUCGAUAGCUCAUCUGGUAGAGUAACUACCCGGUAGGCGGAAGGUUUUCGGUUCAAUCCCGGAUCGAGGCG
rnacentral:tRNA from 1 species